rnacentral:hammerhead_ribozyme from 1 species
AUCCAGCUGAUGAGUCCCAAGUAAAAUGAAACGCGCGUCCUGGAU